rnacentral:rRNA from 1 species
AACCCCUGUGAACAUACCAAUUGUUGCCUCGGCGGAUCAGCCCGCUCCCGGUAAAACGGGACGGCCCGCCAGAGGACCCCUAAACUCUGUUUCUAUAUGUAACUUCUGAGUAAAACCAUAAAUAAAUCAAAACUUUCAACAACGGAUCUCUUGGUUCUGGCAUCGAUGAAGAACGCAGCAAAAUGCGAUAAGUAAUGUGAAUUGCAGAAUUCAGUGAAUCAUCGAAUCUUUGAACGCACAUUGCGCCCGCCAGUAUUCUGGCGGGCAUGCCUGUUCGAGCGUCAUUUCAACCCUCAAGCCCCCGGGUUUGGUGUUGGGGAUCGGCGAGCCUCACGGCAAGCCGGCCCCGAAAUACAGUGGCGGUCUCGCUGCAGCUUCCAUUGCGUAGUAGUAAAACCCUCGCAACUGGUACGCGGCGCGGCCAAGCCGUUAAACCCCCAACUUCUGAAUGUUGACCUCGGAUCAGGUAGGAAUACCCGCUGA